UAAGCUGUAAGCAUCAGAAAGGUAGCUUGUUAUAAAGUGUGGUGUAUGAUUGCGAAGGUAGGUAUGGAUAAUGGUAAACAUGUUCCUUAUUGUGCUCUUCUACACCCUGCCAUUUGCCGCUUGUACAUUCGGCAAAAACAAAUGGCAAAAAGAUAAAAUUGUUAAAAAAAAUAAAAUUAUCUUGUACAAAAGGCAACCAAUGCUCUGAUAACUUAGUUAGCCAUUACCAGGAAGUGUCAUCUGGGUCUGGGAAGUAGUGAUUAGAAUAAAGGCAAA